GGUAAACCUGAGAAACCCGAAAGGUCGAAAGAGGAAAUUCAUUCGCGUUUCGGCUGUCGACGUUAAACGUUUAUACGACGGAUGGCGUUUAGGCGUCGUCUGCGUUUUAUGUUUUUCGAAUCGAUGUCGAACGCGUGCACUUUUCCUCUAGUAGGACGUCGCGAUCCGUUGGGUGUCUGUCUAAGGUUCGAAGUGGAGCCCACGCGAUUUUUUCGUGAAUCGUAUGGACCUUCGUUAUCCCGACAGACUCGCUCGACGGUAAACUAAUGGCGCGAGGCCGCUAUUUUUAAUUAGCGUUCGGCCCGUAGCAAGCACGUUCUGCGUUUGACGGCCAUCGGACCUGGUGCCGAUUCUGUCCCGGAACGACUGUUGGUUGCGGUGUUCUCGAACAGACCUCGUUUGAAACGCCGAUCAGCGACGCUAUAGAUUUGGGUACUCUCAGGACCC
rnacentral:rRNA from 1 species